CUUAGUUGAUCCUGCCAGUAGUCAUAUGCUUGUCUCAAAGAUUAAGCUAUGCAUAUCUAAGUAUGAACUAAUUCAGACUGUGAAACUGUGGAUGGCUCAUUAAAUUAGUUAUAGUUUUUUUUAUGAUACCAUACUACUUGGAUAACCAUAGUAAUUCUAUAGCUAAUACAUGCACCAAGUCCUAACUCUUUUGAAGGGAUGCAUUUUUUGGAUAAAAGGCCGGCACGGGCUUGCCCGCUUCUCUGGUGAAUCAUGAUAACGUGACGGAUCGCACAACCCUUGUGCUAGCGAUGCUUCAUUCAAAUUUCUGCCCUAUCAACUUUUGAUGGUAGGACAGAGGCCUACCAUGGUGGUGAUGGGUGACGGAGAAUUAGGGUUCGAUUCCGGAGAGGGAACCUGAGAAACGGCUACCACAUCCAAGGAAGGCAGCAGGCACACAAAUUACCCAAUCCUGACAUGGGGAGGUAGUGACAAUAAAUAAAAAUAUUGGGCUCAUCGAGUCUGGUAAUUGGAAUGAGUACAAUCUAAAUACCUUAAUGAGGAUCCCUUAGAGGGCAAGUUUGGUGCCAACAGCCACGGUAAUUCCAGCUCCAAAAGUGUAUAUUUAAGUUGUUGCAGUUAAAAUGCUCGUAGUUGGAUCUUGGGUCGUAAAGGUCGGUUUGCCUACUCGGUGUGCACCUGCCCUUCCGUCCCUUUUGUCGGUGGCAUGCUCCUGGCCUUAAUUGGCUGGGUCGCGACUCCGACGCUAUUACUUUGAAAAAAUAGAGUGAUCAAAGCAAGCUUAUGCUCUGAAUACAUUAGCAUGGAAUAACAUGAUAAGAGUCUAGUCCUAUUGUGUUGGCCUUCGGGACCGGAGUAAUAAUUAAUAGGGACUGUCGGGGGCAUUCGUAUUUCAUUGUCAGAGGUGAAAUUCUUGGAUUUAUGAAAGAUGGACCACUGUGAAAGCAUUUUCCAAGGAUGUUUUCAUUAAUCAAGAAUGAAAGUUGGGGGCUCGAAGAUGAUUAGAUACCAUCAUAGUCUCAACCAUAAACGAUGCUGACCAGGGAUCGACGAAUGUUGCUCUAAGGACUCCGCCAACACCUUCUGAGAAAUCAAAGGGUUUGGGUUCUGGGGGGAGUAUGGUCACAAGGUUGAAACUUAAAGGAAUUUACGGAAGGGCACCACCAAGAGUGGAGCCUGCGGCUUAAUUUGAAUCAACAUGGGGAAACUUACAAAGUCCAAACAUAGUAAGGAUUGAUAGAUUGAGAGCUCUUUCUUGAUUCUAUGGGUGGUGGUGCAUGGUCGUUCUUAGUUGGUGGAAUGAUUUGUUUGGUUAAUUCCGAUAACAAACAAGACCUCAGCCUGCUAACUAGCUAUGCGGAGGUUCCCCUUCGUAGCCAGCUUCUUAGAGGAACUAUGGUCGUUUAGGCCAUGGAAGUUUGAGGCAAUAAUAGGUCUGUGAUGCCCUUAGAUGCAUGUGUGCUACACUGAUGUAGCCAACGAUUUUUUCUUCCUGGUUCGAGAGGAUCGAGAGAUCUUCUCAAAUUGCAUCAUGAUGGGGAUAGACCAUUGCAAUUAUUUGUCUUCAAUGAGGAAUUCCUAGUAAGCGCGUGUCAUCAACUCGUGUUGACUACGUCCCUUCCCUUUGUACACACCACCCAUCACUCAUACUGAUUGAAUGAUCCGAUGAAGUGUUCAGGUUGCGUCGACGAUGGUGGUCCGCUGCCAUCGACGUCGUGAGAAGUUCAUUGAACGUUAUCAUUUAGAGGAAGGAGAAGUCGUAACAAGGUUACCGUAGGUGAACCUGUGGUAG
rnacentral:rRNA from 1 species